CUACGUGCCAGCAGCCGCGGUAAUACGGAAGGUCCGGGCGUUAUCCGGAUUUAUUGGGUUUAAAGGGAGCGUAGGCCGGGGAUUAAGUGUGUUGUGAAAUGUAGGCGCCCAACGUCUGACUUGCAGCGCAUACUGGUUUCCUUGAGUACGCACAACGUUGGCGGAAUUCGUCGUGUAGCGGUGAAAUGCUUAGAUAUGACGAAGAACUCCGAUUGCGAAGGCAGCUGACGGGAGCGCAACUGACGCUGAAGCUCGAAGGUGCGGGUAUCGAACAGGAUUAGAUACCCUGGUAGUCCGCACAGUAAACGAUGGAUGCCCGCUGUUGGUACCUGGUAUCAGCGGCUAAGCGAAAGCAUUAAGCAUCCCACCUGGGGAGUACGCCGGCAACGGUGAAACUCAAAGGAAUUGACGGGGGCCCGCACAAGCGGAGGAACAUGUGGUUUAAUUCGAUGAUACGCGAGGAACCUUACCCGGGCUUGAAUUGCAGAGGAAGGAUUUAGAGAUA
rnacentral:rRNA from 1 species